UACGAAGGGGGCUAGCGUUGCUCGGAAUCACUGGGCGUAAAGGGUGCGUAGGCGGGUCUUUUAAGUCAGGGGUGAAAUCCUGGAGCUCAACUCCAGAACUGCCUUUGAUACUGAAGAUCUUGAGUUCGGGAGAGGUGAGUGGAACUGCGAGUGUAGAGGUGAAAUUCGUAGAUAUUCGCAAGAACACCAGUGGCGAAGGCGGCUCACUGGCCCGAUACUGACGCUGAGGCUCGAAAGCGUGGGGAUCAAACAGG
rnacentral:rRNA from 1 species